GAAUAUUCAUUGGAAGGACUGAUACUAAAGCUGAAACUCCAAUACUUUGGUUACCUGAUAUGAAGAACUGACUCAUUUUAAAAGACCCUGAUGCUGGGAAAGAUUGAAGAUAUUCACAAACCACUCAUGAUCUUGAAGUCUGCACUUCAAAACAGGGACAGACUUCUACCACCCAGCUUGAAAGAUGGCCAUCCUUCUCAAGCUGUGAGAAACUGGAAAAGGAAGAAGCUACUAUUCUUUACUGAGAACUGUGGACACCUCUAGUUAUCUAGCCACACAGUCAUGUCCGAUUCUUCAUGACCUCAUGGACUGCAGAAGGCCGGGCCUUCCUGCCCCUCACCAUCUCCCAAAGUUUGCCCAAGGUCAUGUCCAUUGCAUCGGUGAUGCAUCCAGCCAUUUCACCUCUGAUGCCCUCUUCUUCUUCUGCCCUCAAUCUUUCCCAGCAUCAUGGACUUUUCCAAUAAGUCUGUCAUUUGCAUCAGAUGAUCAAAAUACUGGAGUUUCAGCUUCAGCAUCAGUCCUUGCAACAAGUGUUCAGGGUUGAUUUCCCUUAAGAUUGAGUGGUUUGGGCGAUGGUCCCA
ensembl:lncRNA